UCUAGAAGACGGUUUAAACAAAAAUAAAAGAGUGAGAGAAUUAAAAGUACUCAUUUUUAUAUGCUGCUAGGUUACAAAAUGGAGGACUCUGAAGUCAUGAAGCUCUGAAGCUCUCCUGCAGCAUGGCCGUCCGUGAUCACGCCGCACAUUUGAUGCUGUCCCUUUGGCAAUGCCAGCUCCCUGCUAACAUGGACAGUCCUCUGCCACUGUGGGGAAGGUGCAGAUCCGUGGAGAGCUGCCCUGCACACCCCAUCCCACAGGCAGGCACUGUGCAGCACCCUGAGGCCCUCAGGACCUGAAGAAAAUCUAUCCUCACCUUUCCUCAAAACAACCACACAAAGUAAGAGCAGAAAGAUCUCACGUUGCAAAUCUGUCUAGAACAAGAUUUCCCUAUUUAUAUACUUAAGCAGGGGACACUUAGAGCUCCAGUUUUUAAGGCAAAAAGAGACAAAAACAUUGAAAAUGCAUCUCACCUUCCUGCAAACCAGUGCACGACAAGAUGCAACCUUUCCCUUUAGGACUCUCCAUAAUUCACAGAUGGAUAGCAGUUUUUCGGCAGGGAAAUUCCUGCUCCUUUGGGGAGGUGCCCUGUUUCUGUCACAGCUGUGUGCACACAGGGCCUCCUGCAGCCCCCUGAGCCCCAGAUGUUGUGCAGAGGAGCUGCCCCCUCCCACACACUGCAGAGCUCCACAAGGUUCUCUUCCUUCCCUCAGCAAACCUUCCAGAAGGUUCUCCGUGCACUCUCCCAGAGAUUAAUAGAAGGUUCUCUCUGCCCCUCGCUCUCCCGCCAAAACAUCCAGAAGGUUCUCUCUGCCCUUCACCUUCCCGCCAAAAAUUCCACAAAGUUCUCCCUGCCCUUCACCUUCCCGCUAAAAAUACCACAAGGUUCUCUCCACCCCUGCCUACCCCACACCGCUUAAGGGCAAUCUCAUCCACAGCUGGCCACCUGCCCUGGCCACAGCCGUUGCUCCUCCAUCCCUCUGUUUGCUUCCCAGUGCUGCGAUGGCAGCUUCAGUCCUCCGCACUUAAGUGACUGAAAAGUAGAUGUCAUCAGAAACAGAUUCCUCAGAAGUACUGAAAAUGCAGUUUCAUUAGCAAACAGCAAACUCUGAAGAGAGAAUCACCUCAUUCUUCCUGCAAUGCCAAAGGAAGCCAUUUUGGAAAGAUAGUUUUUAUCCUCCUCCACUAUCAGCCAAUAAAAACUGUAGCGAACACCAGACAAACAAAGGACUUCAGCAUACCUACUGGCAUUCAAAGGUCAAGCUCAUGUGACAUGGAUUGCUUCAGGAAAGCAAAGGUGCAUGCAUAGCACCAAGAACAAUAGCCACAUCACAUCAAAGUAUGAAAAGACUGAAUUUUCCCAGCACUUCUGCUUCAGCAAAAACUUCAUCUACAAACAAGCAUUUGCACCUGAAGAUGGUAAAGUUGUGGAGCCACAUAACACAAAGUCUGUUAGCUAAGUUUUAAUUGCCAGACAAGGCAUGCAAAACAAUCAGAAGCCACAGUGACAGAAAAAAAGUUCUCAAAAAAUUGUUUCUUGAAUGUACUAAUAUUUGUAAAGUUUCUAAGUCAUGUUUGAAAAUACAUUGUCACAUAACAAUGCAGCAAAUAGUGACAAAAUAAAAUGCACUGCUUCCUACAUUUUCUUUGAAUGAUUGUGGGUAUGUGUUAAAUGCUGUACUGUACAGACUGCCAUAUUUAGGAAGCAAAACUCUGUUGUAUGCAGUGUUAACUUCUUAAGCACCAUGAAAAUGUGAUUUCAAUCCUCUUCAACCAAAAAAACGUACCCAUUUUUAAUCUACCUUACCACACUAGCAGUAGCUAAAUGGGUGGAGCAGCUGAGAAUAUAUUACAAACUGUUAAGAAUAAGGCAUUAGGAAGUGUCACUCAUCCUUCAGGAAACAAAUCUACAUUGCAUCUUUUUGGUUUUAAACUCUUCAACUAGAGAGAAGAAAUCUUAAAGAUAUCUAGCAACACAAAUAAAUAGCACCAUGGAAUUAGGCUAAAGUGUAUUCUAAGUGCAUUCUGAUUACAAGAAAAGGUGAAACAGCAAGCAUUGAACAUGUCAAAGACUUAAAAACCUCCCAAAUAAGUAUUUAAAACUGUUAUAACCAACUUAAUCAAAAUAGACCCUUCUAGAAUUCCAGAACCAAUUAUUGGAUUGUUGAGACUGAAUCGUUAUGGUAGUUGUUCAUUUCUAAAUGCACUGUGAUGCUACUUUGAUCAUUUCAAACCAGCCAAAGAUGCUUUUGACAUAGUGUCAGUUUAUCUAUUUUUAUUAGUGUUCAAUGUAACUCAAUUUUACUACAUGAAGUAAACUUGGAAAAUAGAUCAUGUCAUUCUUGAUUAAACUAAGUGCAUAGCAACAGCAACAACAAACAAAAAAACAACCCCAAGCCAACGCAGGCUAAAAACAUUGAUUUUCUUUUCGUGUCUCAAAUGCAUUAUGAUAAAAACUACACAACUACCUAUUGUGAAUAUUUGGAGGUUCCCAUCUUAAGCUUGUAGGAACAAGAGCAGGUGGUGCAUUGGAAGUUCCCGAGCAAAACCUUUCUGCUGCUGAUUACUUCGUAUUUUGUAGAUGUGCCACUGUCAACAGUUACAAAUGAGUUACAAAUGGAUUUAAAUCAAAAUCAGAAACUUGAAAUGGUGAUUUUUGCAAAACGCAUAUGAAGCAAAAUAUGAUUUUGACAGGAAUGAUGUAUUUCCAUUGGACCUGCCAGCUUAAUCCAAACAUAAACUGGUCAUCAGAUGAUCUCAGGACAAGAUCUUUCUUGUAGAUGUGACCAGAUUGCUCCUUAAUCCAUUCUUUUUAAAAAAUCUAAACAGGUUCUUCAAAUCUGACUGUUCACUGGGGAGGGCUUGCGGCUGAUCAGAUGAUGUUGUAUUUAAAAACAAAACGAGGUGCAGGUCACUGCUUUGCUUCUGGUAACAAUUAACUGUUGCCUUUUUAGACUCUGUUGCUACAGAAGUAAAGGUCACAUGUUGUUCUGGGUGUGAGGGGAAGGAUUGCAGCUGCCUUUGGGCAUGUUGGCUGAGGUUGGGUGAAGUCAGAGAAGGGGUAAUAAACUUCAAAGCUGAUUACGUUCUCACCACUGUUAGGAACAAGCAGUUCUCACCAAUGUCUCACAGCCAAGUUGCAGAGACACUCUCAAACAGGUAGGCUGUGGCAUGAGUUUGAAGCUGCUUGUAAAUCUGAAAACCCUUAUGAUGAAUGAGAGGGGCAGAAAGUUGAGAUUCUUUAUAGAUGUGGAAAAGCUGCAGUUGGGCCCCAGAUGCUUGUUCCCCAAGAAAGUCUAAAAACCAGGAAAAAAUACAGAAAACUAAUCCUCCUAACAAGAGAUAGAAAUUGGAUCCCGUACUCCUUCAGUGAGCUAACUACAUCAUACAGCAAGCUUGAUUUAGUCCCGCCUAUAAUGGUUUUCAUAUUAAAAUUACAGAUGUUGGUAAUAAUUUCCAAGUCAUCAAAGUACCCUCACGUGUGCUAUUUUCUUCAACAAAUAUAACAGACUACAAAUAACUGAUUCAACAAAGAAUAGUGAUACUCCUCAUACCACAAUAUUAUGAAAUCUUUUCUACAAGGACAAGUGAAGCUUUGGAGUACCACUGACAGGUGGAUCUAUUUCGUGCCUCAUUAACAGUAAUCUAACUAGCGUGUUGGGUUCUACGCUGUAAAUAGCUCCCCCACUGUUGCAGGGACCAGUGGCUUCCUCCCCACCCUCUGAUCUCCCCCAGUCUUCCUAUUCCUCCAGAUUACAGUUGACAUUUAAACUAUAAAAAAAAUGCAAGUUCUCCUGCUUGUCUCUUAAAUUUAUCUCUGAAUGAUCCAGAACACAGAAUAGCAAUAUAAUACUGCUGGCUCUGGUAUUUGAUCAUGUUCCAGAUAACUACCAAGAAUGUCAUGGAAAUAGGAAAUCCCUAGGUAAAUAUAGUCCACAUGGGAACUAACUUCUUUGGUCAUUCCAGUGCAAACAGUUACUGGGACUUCUGCUGCAAGGAAACACUGUAAGACUUGCUGCUGCUAGGUCUGCCAGUGGCUGCUGUAAUGACAGCUUGUUCACAAAAGGCCACACAGCAACUCACAGCUGCUACAGAAAGUAACAAGAAAUCAUCACUAAAACUCACUCCCAAACUGAGUAUGGCUACUGUCAAAGGAGUUAAUAAAUACAUAAAUAAAUCACAAAAAAGGUAAGAGUGCUGGAGAGAAAGAAGCAGGAAGUACAGCAAAGACCAAAGGGAAAAAAAAGCAGGAAGCUUAUGGAAGAAAACUGGAACAGAGAUGCUGGAUGAGACAGAUGAUUAUCUGAGUGAGGAGUAUUCCUAGAGAAACUGAGUUGGAAAAGGCAUUACAAGAGUCUAAAAUGAGAGUAAAAAUAGACCUAAAUAUGUUUGUUAACUACUUUCUGCGUAAGCCAGAUAGAGUUGCAGACUGACACUGCAUCAUAUUUCUCCCAUAGAAAAGCAAUCUUCUCUUUCAAAGCAUCCUUUCUAUAACAGCAGCUAGUCACUGCUCUUUCCUGCAUCUCCUCCAACUUCUCCACAAUCUGCACUGGCUAGUGCUGCAGGAAGUUACCAGCUCUCCCUGCCCAUAUUAUAUUAUUUUGAGAAGAAUGUAGUUUCAGAGACGGAUACAUUAUUGAAGAGAUCGGAUUCAUGACAAUUUUAACCAGCUAUUGUAUGCUAUUACUACCCACUUAUUCUCCUCAUUUCCUGCUCCUUUCUUAUCUAAAUUUUAGGCUUGGCAGUGCUGCUUUUCCUGAGAGCUUUAGCUGUACAUGGCCAAAGCUAGGGUAAUUCAGCUGUGGCUCAUGGAGAUUUAACAGGUAGUAAAUAUGCAUGCAGGAUUUCUCCUAUGCAAUCCCUCUGAAAAUCUUAACAGAAAUGACACAUAAUAGGAAAAAAAAAAUCUAUUUUCUGAUUGCAGGUAAGACCAAGACUUUCACAGAACUUCCAAAUAAGAAACAGCAUAAUCACUAAAGCACAGUACUAAAUGAGAAAGCAAAUUUUUUUGAUAUCGCUUUUUAGACUUCCUUUUAAUUGAAUAUUGAGUCAUCAGAGUGUGCACCUGGUAAUUAAUUUUGCACCUUUUCCACUAUCUGUGCUGAGUAAGUAAAAUCUCUCAGAAAGAAGGCAUAGCUCAAUUCCCCACACUCUCAUUUGGGUCAAUAUAUGCUAAAUACUAAUAUUGGCUAGGUAAGAGAACAUUUACUAUGUCAGUAUCUCAGUGAGAAAAAAAAGUACAAAUUAGAGCAGGACAACUCAAACUAGGUCGAGUUUUGAUUGGAAUUCCAUGAAAACUUUAGAGAAAGGCAUCAUGUGUGCACUUAGUCAAGGGC